rnacentral:rRNA from 1 species
CCUACGGGGGGCAGCAGUAGGGAAUCUUCCACAAUGGGCGAAAGCCUGAUGGAGCAACGCCGCGUGGGUGAAGAAGGUCUUCGGAUCGUAAAACCCUGUUGUUAGAGAAGAAAGUGCGUGAGAGUAACUGUUCACGUUUCGACGGUAUCUAACCAGAAAGGCACGGCUAACUACGUGCCAGCAGCCGCGGUAAUACGUAGGUGGCAAGCGUUAUCCGGAUUUAUUGGGCGUAAAGGGCACGCAGGCGGUCUUUUAAGUCUGAUGUGAAAGCGUUCGGCUUAACCGGAGUAGUGCAUUGGAAACUGGGAAACUUGAGUGCAGAAGAGGAGAGUGGAACUCCAUGUGUAGCGGUGAAAUGCGUAGAUAUAUGGAAGAACACCAGUGGCGAAAGCGGCUCUCUGGCCUGUAACUGACGCUGAGGUUCGAAAGCGUGGGUAGCAAACAGGAUUAGAUACCCCAGUAGUC